rnacentral:lncRNA from 1 species
UUGGGAAGCCUUAUGGGUCGCAAAGGCAAUCGAUCCAAAUAAGCAUAAAUGACAAUGAGUUGUGGGCUUUCAAAUUGAUCCUAAAAGAUAAUGGUGGCGUGUUCGAGAUGACACAUGGAGGGGAGGUACCUUCGGGUGGGAGACUCAAGUCACCCGACCUGUUAGGCCUAACCCAAGGCCUAGCACGUUGUGCACCCAAGAAG